GCUGCCACAGAGGCGGGGGCAGAGAUCGUCUUCAAGGCUGCUGUCAUCUGGAAUUUUAUGUACUUCAUUUUCUUUCACUCUGUAUGCCUGUCACAUCGGCUUAACUACCAGAGAUGACGUCACUUGUCUUUAAGCUCACCUGGUUUAAAGAAUGAAGUUAUGACUUCCUGGAGUUCUAGGCCAUAUUCUACAAGCCAGUUUGGAGACUGAAAAUUCUAUGGAGCUUUUUGGGAAGAAACUUUAUUUUGUUUUUGCUUCUGCUACCCAAGCAAUGAAAUUAAUAUGCAUAACUCCUACAAGUGACUGUUCUUCAGAAUUGAUGCCAAAAGUGAACCUUAUUGUUAUUUCUGUUCUUAAGCAGCAUAGCAGAUGCUAGUUGGCACAAUGCUCACAGACAGGUGAAUUCCAGAACAAGAUGAAUAGCAAGAGCAAGCUCUCAAUUCCUGCAGGAUUCUCUCUGCUGCCAAGUCUGAUUCUAUAAAACAUGACGUUCAAAUGGAGAGUGAGCGUAAUCCUAUUCUGAGUUACAGGUGCAUAAUUUCAAAGUCUUGUGCUUUGGCACUAUCCACAUUGAGGCAGAUACUGUCUUUUGCCUACUAUGCCUCCUCUUCACAUACUUCUUUUCUCUCUGAGAUGCAGUUGUACAACAUCCCUUUAAAAAAGCACUAGUCUGAGAGAAUAUAUUCCUGCUUGCUCCAGUAAAGCACAGUCAUAGAAACAUUACAAACAGGAUCGUUUCUUUUUGUCUUUCCUAUUCUGAGAAAUAUUGGCUUACAAUGGGUUAAAAGUCUGCUGCUAAGCACUGGCCAUUUUAAGGUGUAUUCUUCUCCCCUGCCGAUUUGCUCUCUGACCUCUUGGGGGCCAGGGCAGUUGCAGACUUCAUUUUUACUCUAUUUCCUGGUCUCUCUCCUGGCUGUGCACUCAAUGUUUCCACAGCAGAUUAAUGACAGCUAAUAAUAUCUGAUAUAUCUGGACAUUGCCACAUAAUGAGUUGCAGUCCCACUGGGUGCCCGAAGUGUCACUACUAACAAAUUCACCAGAGCUGCACAUAAUUAGCAUGUAAAGGGAGUGAUCAUGCAGUAAAUCUGGAGGGGAAGAUGGAUAGCCCAUGAGGAAAAAAUAUAAGAAAAAAAAAUACUGUUCUUAACACUCAUUGGUAAAUGUAUGUUUCUUGGCAUGAAUAUUUUCUCGAUAACAAACUGUGAACAGGUUACCUUUACAGUAACAUUAUUCCUUCCACGGCUGAUAGGCAGAAUUUCAUUAUGCCACUGCUAAUGUUACAAUAUUUCUGCAAAAUGUCACCAUAUGUAAAUUAGAAGAGGUUAGGGUUUCCAUUUUAGUUUUCUUUUGAGAUGCACUGUCCCUUCCUGCUCUGAUUUAAUUCUCCCUUCAACUAGUUUAUAGAUGUGUUAACAUUGACCAAACUCUUGCAAAAUAAAAUUGGCACUGGAGAAUCUUCUUUUUCAAAUAGCACAGCCAAAUAAGAAAGAAGAAACUCAAUAUGUGACAGAGAGCAUAGAAGAGUAGAAUUUAGUUCCAUUGAUGAGAUUGUAUCCAAAGUACAAUCUUUCCUGUCACAUCAGCAAAUACCCAACAAAGAAAAAUGGGAAGCAUAUACAGUUUGAGUUACCUGAUCUUACCACAUCUCCACCUUGUGACCACCUAGCUGCCCAUCAUACACUAAGUACCACCUGCAGACUGGACGCAUGCAGGCAAAAAGGCCUCCCCAGGAGAAAGAGGUUGACAAGGAGCAGAUGAAUUGUCCUGAUGGGCUGACUUCAGCCUGAAGAAUCCUAAAUGGUGCAGCUCUAAUCUAGUUUAAGUCAUUCACUCCUUCCCAUAGAAUCUAUUGUCCACCAGUGCUUAAGGCGUUUUGUUUUAAAGUUUUUAGUUUUAUUUGUGUUUAUUUUGGCUUUUAGGGUUAUUUGGAUAGUUGGUGAAAAAAAAAAAUAACUAUUUCACAGUACAAGUAUUUUCAGUCUAUUAUUUUACUGAACAGAGAGGUCUUUGGUCCUGAAGGCUUCAGCCUUUAAGUUGCUCUUGUGCAUAAUAUACUUCUGCUGUCAUAUGACAGGAGAGGGAAAAAAAAAAAAAAGCCUCACUUAAAAAAAAAAAAAAAAGUAUAAAAUGUUUGUGUAACUCAUAUUUUUCCUGUGAUAAUUACU